UACGUAGGGAGCAAGCGUUGUCCGGAAUCAUUGGGCGUAAAGAGCGCGUAGGUGGCUUUAUAAGUCCGUUGUGAAAGUCAAAGGCUCAACCUUUGAAAGCCGAUGGAUACUGCCGGGCUAGAGUCCGGAAGAGGCGAGUGGAAUUCCUGGUGUAGCGGUGGAAUGCGCAGAUAUCAGGAGGAACACCAAUAGCGAAGGCAGCUCGCUGGGACGGUACUGACGCUGAGGCGCGAAAGCGUGGGGAGCGAACAGG
rnacentral:rRNA from 1 species